rnacentral:rRNA from 1 species
GACGAACGCUGGCGGCGUGCUUAACACAUGCAAGUCGAACGGAAAGGCCCUGCUUUUGUGGGGUGCUCGAUUGGCGAACGGGUGAGUAACACGUGAGUAACCUGCCCUUGACUUUGGGAUAACUUCAGGAAACUGGGGCUAAUACCGUAUAGGAUCUCCUGCUGCAUGGUGGGGGUGGGAAAUUUUCGGCGGUUGGGGAUGGACUCGCGGCUUAUCAGCUUGUUGGUGGGGUGGUGGCUUACCAAGGCUUUGACGGGUAGCCGGCCUGAGAGGGUGACCGGCCACAUUGGGACUGAGAUACGGCCCAGACUCCUAAGGGAGGCAGCAGUGGGGAAUAUUGCACAAUGGGCGGCAGCCUGAUGAAGCAACGCCGCGUGCGGGAUGACGGCCUUCGGGUUGUAAACCGCUUUCGCCUGUGACGAAGCGUGAGUGACGGUAAUGGGUAAAGAAGCACCGGCUAACUACGUG